AUUGAACGCUGGCGGCAGGCCUAACACAUGCAAGUCGAACGAGUGGCGGACGGGUGAGUAAUGUCUGGGAAACUGCCUGAUGGCGGGGGAUAACUACUGGAAACGGUAGCUAAUACCGCAUACCAUCAGAUGUGCCCAGAUGGGAUUAGCUAGUUGGUGGGGUAACGGCUGACCACGGCGACGAGCCCUAGAUGGUCUGAGAGGAUGACAAGCCACACUGGAACGGAGAUACGGUCCAGACUCCUACGGGAGGAAGCAGUGGGGAAUAUUGCACAAUGGGCGCAAGCCUGAUGCAGCCAUGCCGCGUGUAUGAAGAAGGCCUUCGGGUUGUAAAGUACUUUCAGCGGGGAGGCGUUACCCACAGAAGAAGCACCGGCUAACUCCGUGCCAGCAGCCGCGGUAAUUC
rnacentral:rRNA from 1 species